AAAGCUCAGAAAAGAAGAAGAACGUCAGAAAGACAACAUAGGUGAUUUGCUGUAAUGCUGUAAGAGUAUUGUUCUCUUGCCACUAUAGAUGCAGAAUUUGUCAACGGUACAUGAACAUACAAAAGCAUACAGAAGAGUACAGGACCAGAAUGAACUUCUUGGACCUUGUUAGCCCUCGGAGCGGUGAGCGGCAGGUAUCGGCUGUGAGUGAGAAGCUACGUGGGUCAAGGCCGCGGUCACGGGUUUUCUGUUUCCCUCAUCGUCAUCCAUCCAUAACCUCCCUACUCCCCUCCCAUCACCUACACACACACCACAGAGGAUUGACAGUGUGGACAUAAUGAGGAAGAGACGAGGUGAGACUGUGGGUGUCUUGGAGCAGCAAACGGAUCCAGAUCCAACAUUUCUGGAAAUGAGCAGUAACAGGAGUCAGGGCCGCCUUGGUGUCCUCAGCUUGAGGGAACAAACUGUGCAGCUGGUGACAAUGAAGAUGUCCAGUGGCCGUCCCCCUGACACAAAUGUGCAAAUCCGUUGCACACGUUUCAGCGACAUUUUGGUGGAGUUUCAUGGCUUUGAGUAACGCGGAGUUUGUCAAGUCGAAAUCUGGUGACUGUAAUAAAAAAUGAUCCCUGUCAUAAAAAUCAUGUAAACGGUCUCAUUACAGAGCUACGCCAGCAGAUGGCACCAUUUCACUUUUAUAUGUGCAGAAGUGAUGAUCCACUAAUGCACAGCUACAGCUUAUAGUUAGUAAUGUUAAUAUAGAGUUUUAGCAGAUUAUAAUAUGUUGAUUCAUAAUCCUGUCACUUAUUUUCAGGUUGCUCAUGUUUUGUUUUCCUAAUCUUAUUCCUUAUUUUCUCAACUUAGUGUUAUUUUAAUUCAAAUAUAAACACACCCAAUUUCCUCCGGGGGAUUACUGUGUUAAGUGUUCUGAUUCUGAUUUAUUAGUUUUUAUUAUGUUGCAUAUAUAAAAAUCUUUUAUAAUCUUUCACAUUCCUCAUACUUUUGGACACUGUAAUUUUCUUAUUUAAUUAAAUUUGGAAGACAUGCAGAUCCCCAGUGAGAUUUCAGACGUGUUUGAAAAGCUGUGGUUACUUUUUUAAUUUCUGAAAUGGCAUUAAUAAUGUGGUUAAAAUGAGAAAUUCCUCAAAGUCCUGUGGACUGUCUUUGUGUAAAUUAUGUCCAUCUCCUUUUUGUUUAUUCUUUGUCGGAGCCAAUACUUUUUUGAAAAAAGUGAUUUGUGUUAUUCAUGUGGAAAUAAUCAGAAUUGCGUCUCAUUAUUUUCCUUUGUCAUUUGUGUUUUAACUUGAAGCCAAACUGCCUUGAUGGAAAUUCAGGUUUGAGAUCUCUGAGGACACAGCUCCCUCUUCUGACACAGAAAAUCACAAACAGCUCAUUACGCCAUGUACCAGACGUGUAACUGAACGUCAGCCUUUGAAAACAGGUCUCAGAAGUUUGUUAAAAUGCCAUGUUUCCGCUUAGAGGUUUUGUUUAAAAUGACAGAGUUCACCCUUUACAGUCUUUGAGACUCUGAAAUUGUCUGUUUGACAUUCAACAAAGAACAGGACAUGAUGUAACUCUCGCCUGAGCCGAAUCUAAAGCAAGAACACAGUGUUUUCAUAUACUUUAAGUCAAGGCAAACGGACUACAAUGUACUGAGCUUCAGUCUAAUAUGUAACCUCUGUCUGAUGUCUUUGUAACACUUUAAAAUACGACGGUUUCUUCCAUACAAAACAAACAUUUAUACAGUAUAAUUAAUGUGUGUAGUCAGUAAUAGUUCAAAGCUGCUUAGACAGGAAAACAGAAUAAAUAUGUUAAGUAAAUAAAUGCUUAAAUGGUAAAAGUAACAAGGUAUCACAGUGUUAAAAUACCAAGACUCUGAUAAUAGAGUUCUUUCAUUAACUUAUUAAUGGAUGUUUAGUACUUCUAACUCACUCUUUUUUAAAGAUUUUAUUAAAAAACAAACAAAAAAUAAAUAAAAUAUAUUUUUUGACGUCUGUUCUGCAGGUAAGAUGUCA